CAUGCAAGUCGAACGAGAAUCUGUGGAAAGAGGAUUCGUCCAAUUGAAGCAGAGGACAGUGGCGGACGGGUGAGUAACGCGUGAGGAACCUGCCUUUCAGAGGGGGACAACAGUUGGAAACGACUGCUAAUACCGCAUAACAUAUAGAUGUCGCAUGGCAUUUAUAUCAAAGAUUUAUCGCUGAAAGAUGGCCUCGCGUCUGAUUAGCUAGUUGGUGAGGUAACGGCCCACCAAGGCGACGAUCAGUAGCCGGACUGAGAGGUUGAACGGCCACAUUGGGACUGAGAUACGGCCCAGACUCCUACGGGAGGCAGCAGUGGGGAAUAUUGGGCAAUGGGCGCAAGCCUGACCCAGCAACGCCGCGUGAAGGAAGAAGGCUUUCGGGUUGUAAAC
rnacentral:rRNA from 1 species